CAGGUGCAGGAACUGCCUCUGCUGUUCCCCUGACAGGGACGAAAUCCUCCAGCCCAGGGAGGGGGGCUGCCGAGGGCGGUGAGGGGUGCUGUGUGGGGGCCGGGACAUCAGAGGAGACGCAGUGACCCAAGGAAAGCGCUGAGCAGGUUCCUGGGCCAGGGAGAGGCUGGGCGAGCAGGCACAGAGGUGACUUUGAGGCGGGCACAGCCCACCUGCAUGUCCCUGGAGGCCGCCUCCACUCCCCCUGCUUGCUGCUCUGGGCCUCACCCUGGCCUCAGCUGCCUGGAGGGGCCCCAGCCAGGAGUUGGGGGGGUGGGGGCUGCUCCCCUAAGUCACCCAGCGUCCUGGCCUGGCCUUCAUUCUCCUCUUCCCCUUGUGAGCCGGAUCUCAGCCUUCUGUUCUCUGACAAGUGUGCAGCCAGCCCCACCGUGUGCCAGGCGCUGGGACACGGAUGGGGCAGCCCUGCUGGCACGUGCAUCAUCUGGCUGGGAGACCAUCAGGAAAGACAGCACGAGAAUCAACUUGCACAAGAAUCCCUAUGGGGAAACUGAGGCCCAGAGAAGAGAAAUGACUUGCCUAAGGCCACAGACUUCAGUGGGAGGAGCCAACAGUCUUAUGCUUUGCCAGCCCUGGUCCUGAAACCCCCAGCUGUGAUCUCGGGUCAGCUGCCCCACCUCCUGGGGCCUCAGUUUCCUCAUCUGUAGGGGGGGUGAUCAUUUAACUGAGGCCCUUGUGAGGCAUAGAUGAUAAAGUUAAAAAUGCCCGUAAAACCUACAGCCUCACAGGGCUUCACUGUGGCAGUGGGCCCCGAAGCUGGGUGGGGGCGGUUCCUGGGGGCAGAAGGUCCCAGCACUCCUGGUAAGUCAGGGAGAAGGAUUUGAACCCCGCUGCUCCAGGGCUAAGCCCCUCACCACGUCUUCUCUGACGAGCCUGGGAGCUGCUCAAAGCUGCUGGGGUGGUACCCAGCUGGGCAUCCCCACUAGAUUCCCCUGGGUCUCCUCCUUCCCACUGGGCCCAUUCCAGGCCCUCCUUUCCCCGACUCCCCUGUACCUCAGAGCGGCCUCCUUCACUCCCACACACCUCCAGGUGCCCCCUGCCUGUUUGCCCACGUCCACUCCACUCUAUAGCCCCUCUUCCUGGUCUAAUCGAGGCAUCCCACCCCCACGCCUCUCCCCAUAAAAGCCUCACAGUUCACUGUUUGAAAUGGCGUGGCUGCGGUUCCAGCUGGCCUGGGCCUCUCUUGUCUGCUUCCUGCCUGGGUUUCUUGGGCUCUGUCUGCCUGGCUGCCUGGGCCCCUGGAGACCCAAGCUCCUGGCCAGUCUCACCCCAAGCUGUCCCCUAAACCCCUGGCAACAUGGAGGUCCCCCUCAACACCCCCUCUCCAAGCCCUGUCCCCAGGCACCUUCCACUUAUUGCUAUUUUCCUAAGUAAAAAAUUCAUGUUCAUUCCACCAAAUGGAAUACCAUGAGCAUGCAACACAAAAACAAGAGAAACGCAAGUCAGCUG
rnacentral:lncRNA from 10 species